UUUACUUUUAGUCCUGCACAUGUUUCUUCUCGCUCCUACUGGUCCAAUGAUCCAGUAUUUUACAAGACGGCAAACAGCAGACAAAGUCCAAAAAUGAAAUGAUAAAAUCUGUUCACCGACGUCCCUGACGUUCACUGAUUAACAUGUUACGUCAGUUACUUACUGGGGUUUAAGUAACUGAUUUCCCAGGCAGCAGAGACUUCGAGAAGCGAGUCCUCCAGGCCACAAAACAGUCCAACACAUACGAGUAGAAACUUGUGUGUGUUUGUCUUGUCUUGUGUCCGUCAGUCCUCCCUUUGCUGUAUGAAAACACAGUCAGCGAGGAGGCCUACAGCAUCUUUCUUCUCUCUACUGUAACCUCUCAAGCAAACCUCCAAAACCCCCUCAAAACUGAACAUGAAAUCAAAUGUUCUUACCUCGGAUUGGGUCACGUAGACUCACUGACUUCUCAUCACGCAAACAAACCUGUGAAGGUGCUGAACUGUGAUAGUACUGCACCUUCUCCUGCCAAAGUACUGCCAACAGUGUCGUUCAGUCUGCAGGCUGAUGGUACAAGUACAACUGCUGCAUCCUGCUGACUCCUCUGCUGUGUGUGUGUGUGUGUUUUCACUUCUGAUCCAUGACGUCUAGCCUCUCCUUCCACAUUAGCUGAACUGUUUAUGCACGGCUGCACGCGCACAAACGCUCCUCUACAUCCGAUACUGCUGCCACACACACACACACACACACACACACACACACACACACAGUCAUGCUUCUUCACUUCAUUUUUGCUUAACCCAAAACCUUAACUUCAGCGUAACCUUAAAUCAACUUGCAUUUCGUUCCCCAUUAGGAAGAAAAGGCCCCCGCGAUGUGUUUAUGGUACACACUUCAUGUUCAUCAUUAUAAAUGUGUGUGUGUCUGUGUUAUAAAUUUAGACUUUGCUGUGUUAUUAUCAUGAUCAGAUUUCUAGGUAGUGCUGGUACUAGUGGUUGUAACAGCAGCGGCAAAAGUGUUGGUGACAUCACGGUGUAUUCAUAGUGUUUAGACAGAUUAUGGUAUGUCAGCACAUCAUCUCACACAGAUUCUACCUGGACUGGAAGAGAACGUGGAACAUUCUGAUUGGUCAGUGAUGUCAUAGUCACAACAGGAUGUGUUCCUGGUCUGCAGUGUUUUCGCACAUCUCCUGUCAGAUCUGCUGAACACAGUUGCUCUGAAGCUCAAUGGCAUCACUGAAAACCAGCUUGGGUAAAACCAACAAGGAUCCCACAAAACCAGCCAGCGGGACCAGAAUUUGAGGUUGACCAUUUUAAUGGUGCGGUAACAUGCUACCUGGAAACUGUGCAGAGAA